rnacentral:tRNA from 1 species
UUCUUGGUGGCUGAGAGUAUAAGCACUAAACUUUUAAUUUAGGGACAGCCGAUAAGAAAUUGUGGAGGCUCCAGGAAA